rnacentral:rRNA from 1 species
GAUGAACGCUGGCGGCGUGCCUAAUACAUGCAAGUCGAGCGAACGGACGAGAAGCUUGCUUCUCUGAUGUUAGCGGCGGACGGGUGAGUAACACGUGGAUAACCUACCUAUAAGACUGGGAUAACUUCGGGAAACCGGAGCUAAUACCGGAUGAUAUUUUGAACCGCAUGGUUCAAAAGUGAAAGACGGUCUUGCUGUCACUUAUAGAUGGAUCCGCGCUGCAUUAGCUAGUUGGUAAGGUAACGGCUUACCAAGGCAACGAUGCAUAGCCGACCUGAGAGGGUGAUCGGCCACACUGGAACUGAGACACGGUCCAGACUCCUACGGGAGGCAGCAGUAGGGAAUCUUCCGCAAUGGGCGAAAGCCUGACGGAGCAACGCCGCGUGAGCGGUGAAGGUCUUCGGAUCGUAAAACUCUGUUAUUAGGGAAGAACAUAUGUGUAAGUAACUGUGCACAUCUUGACGGUACCUAAUCAGAAAGCCACGGCUAACUACGUG